rnacentral:rRNA from 1 species
CCUACGGGAGGCAGCAGUGGGGAAUAUUGGACAAUGGGCGAAAGCCUGAUCCAGCAAUGCCGCGUGUGUGAAGAAGGCCUUCGGGUUGUAAAGCACUUUAAGUUGGGAAGAAAAAGCUCUGGCUAAUAUCUAGAGCCUUGACGGUACCAACAGAAUAAGCACCGGCUAACUCUGUGCCAGCAGCCGCGGUAAUACAGAGGGUGCUAGCGUUAAUCGGAUUUACUGGGCGUAAAGCGUGCGUAGGCGGUUUGAUAAGUCGAUUGUGAAAGCCCCGGGCUUAACCUGGGAAUUGCAGUUGAUACUGUCAGACUAGAAAACGGUAGAGGGAGGCGGAACUCCAGGUGUAGCGGUGAAAUGCGUAGAUAUCUGGAAGAACACCGAUGGCGAAGGCAACCUCCUGGGCCUGUUUUGACGCUGAGGCACGAAAGCGUGGGUAGCAAACAGGAUUAGAUACCCUGGUAGUCCACGCCGUAAACGAUGAGAACUUGACGUUGGUUUGCUUAGCAAAUCGGUGUCGUAGCUAACGCGAUAAGUUCUCCGCCUGGGGAGUCGGCCGCAAGGUUGAAACUCAAAGGAAUUGACGG